GCCGUGGUGGCGCAAUUGGUUAGCGCGUUCGGCUUUUACUGUUGAGCCAACCGAAAGGCUGUGGGUUCGAGUCCCACCCAUGGCG
rnacentral:tRNA from 1 species